UUAAAUUGUGUGUUAAACUGCAUCUAUGUAUAGGUUUUCUUCUUUAGGAUUAUGGCCUUGAGUCAGGGCUGCUUUAGGAGUGAAUGGUAUGAGAGAGUGUAACCUUUUGUUGCUCUCUCUAAAAAGGAAUGACCUCACAUACAUGCAGGAAAUAAGCUAUACCUGGUUAUUCAGAAAAUACUUUAUGUAGUGUCUGUAUUGUUCUGUUAAACUUUCUAUGUGUAUGCAUAUAUGGUCCCUUUCUUUUAGCCUUUAUUGAUUGUGCAGAAGGGUAACCUGAGCUUUAAGGUCUGGCCUCAAGCCAGAAGGAAUGCAUAGAAUGUCCUUGUAGCUCUCUGGCUUGCCAUAUAAGGAAUGACCAUAUGUUUAGCUGUAGGUUAGGAGGCUGAAGUUUGUUUUUAUAACCAUAUAUGGAAGUUAGGAUGUGGGGGUUGCCAACACUACACUAUAUAACUCUUGCAAGUCCCUUUGUCUCAUGAGCUAGGGCGAUUAGAGACUUACCCUCUCCCAGGUCGCAAAGGAAAGCGCCUGUUUUGACACUGUCUGUUUCUUUGCAAUAAACUUUUGUAUAUAUGCAUUAAGACAUUUGUCAGCGAGGAUUUUUUCCCAAGAACACAUCACUGAAUACACCUUAAAUUUUGGCGUCACGGAUUGAGACAGCUUGUGAUGACUGCAGCCUGACGACUCGACGGUCCAGCUUUCUGCUCAGAGGCCAGUAAAGAGGUGAGAGAGAGAGAGACCAAGGGGGGGUGAGCUGAGCUGAGUGAAUCCAGAUGUGCCUGGACUGAAUAGCCCUGCAAGCUGACUUCAGCAAAAGGCCAGUGUUUGUUUUUUCUUGUCAAUCAAACUCCUUUGAUAAAACACCACUUUCUAAAGUUCUUUAAACACACUUAUUUUGCCUUCAUUUAUAUACUAUAUAGGCACAUACUUUGGUUUGGUGUUUUAUACAAUAUAUUUGCUUUCAUUCUUUGCACAGACUUGGCACAGAUUGACCGUAUAUUAGUGAACACAGUUUGAAUUAGUUAUUAAAAGUCCAUAGGUCUUGAAUUUGAUUUAUCUUGUAUUGUGUUUGAGUAUUUUGGUGUUUCAUAUAAUAUUUGUUUACUGGUUUGACAAAUUUAUACAGCAUUUUGACGAAUUUGUUUCACAAAAGACCGCGUGUCAAGUGAAAUUUUUCGCAACAGCAGGCUUGCUGUUUCUUCUGGUGUUGGCAAACUUAUCUUUACUAAUUGUGCUACAAUUAUUAGCAUUAAAUAAGGUUGAUGAUAUUAAUCGCAUAACUGAAUAAAUAAAUAAAUAGAUUAUUAAUAAAAAAAAAAAAAAA